rnacentral:rRNA from 1 species
UACGGAGGGUGCAAGCGUUAUCCGGAUUCACUGGGUUUAAAGGGUGCGUAGGAGGACAGGGAAGUCCGUGGUGAAAUCCUAGAGCUUAACUCUAGAACUGCCGUGGAUACUCUCUGUCUUGAAUCCCGUGGAGAUGAGCGGAAUAUGUCAUGUAGCGGUGAAAUGCUUAGAUAUGACAUAGAACACCAAUUGCGGAGGCAGU